UGAUGGAGAGUUUGAUCCUGGCUCAGGACGAACGCUGGCGGCGUGCUUAACACAUGCAAGUCGAGCGGUAAGGCCCUUCGGGGUACACGAGCGGCGAACGGGUGAGUAACACGUGAGCAACCUGCCCCCGACUCCGGGAUAAGCCGGGGAAACCCGGUCUAAUACCGGAUAGGACGCCCUGUCGCAUGGCGGGGU
rnacentral:rRNA from 1 species